CCGACCUGGCUCACACCGGUUUAAACUCAGAUCAUGUAAAAUUUUAAAGGUCGAACAGACCUAUCCUAUUAGCCUCUACACCAACAACUUAUUUUAAUCCAACAUCGAGGUCGCAAUCCAUUCUUUCGAUAAGAACUCUAAAAAAGAUUACGCUGUUAUCCCUAAGGUAAUUUAAUCUUAUAAUCAAAACUUUUGGAUCAAUCACUUACAUAUCAAUAUUCUUAAUAUAAAAAAAGUUAACUAAAUUUUUCUAUCACCCCAACAAAAUAAACAUUAUAUAUAAUUCUCAUUCUAGCACCUUCAACUCAAAUAUUCAUAUAUUUAUAAAACUCUAUAGGGUCUUCUCGUCUUCUAAAUAAAUUUGAGCCUUUUUACUCAAAAAUAAUAUUUUAAUAUAUUUUAACAGAGACAGCUUUUUUCUCAUCAAACCUUUCAUACAAGCUUUCAAUUAAAAAACUAAUGAUUAUGCUACCUUUGCACGGUCAAUAUACCGCGGCCAUUUAACUACUCAGUGGGCAGGUCAGACCUGAAAUCAUUAUC
rnacentral:rRNA from 1 species